AAAAAUAAUUGUGGUUUUUG
rnacentral:miRNA from 1 species